rnacentral:rRNA from 1 species
UACGUAGGGUGCAAGCGUCGUCCGGAAUUAUUGGGCGUAAAGAGCUCGUAGGCGGUUUGUUGCGUCGGCUGUGAAAUCCCGAGGCUCAACCUCGGGUCUGCAGUCGAUACGAGCAAACUAGAGUGUUGCAGGGGAGACUGGAAUUCCUGGUGUAGCGGUGAAAUGCGCAGAUAUCAGGAAGAACACCCGUGGCGAAAGCGGCUCUCUGGAACGGUACUGACGCUGAGACGCGAAAGCGUGGGGAGCGAACAGG